GCAUGCCAUGCAUACACGAUAACAAAGUUGUCACUUUGCAAGUAGAAUUACAUGAAUUAACUUUAUUUUUAUUUUUAAAUGCCUACAUUUGUGCUUGUUUUGCAUUUCGCAGAGGCGUUUUAAAGAAUCACGUUUGCCUGUAAGAAGGUUCUGCAGUGUCAGCUAUGAUGCACACAUUGAUAUGUAAUAUGUUGACAUAAGCAUACCUGUUCAGGCUACUGUAAACCUAUUUGCAAUUACCAAGAACAAGAUGUAAUGUGUUUUAGAGCAGGCAGCAGGCAGCAGGCAGCAGGCUAUGCAUUCAGAACGCAAAAUGUGUUAUGAGGUGACUUCCAUAUAUGAACGUUUGACUGAGCCUACAGAGGAAACAACUCAGAGACCCAAUGAUAGUCAGGAAGGAGAGACAUACGAUAUGUAUCUUAAUGGAACGGGUUUGUCUUUGCUUUUAUGUCAUUUAUUAUACUAUUAUUUAUUUAUACGAUGCCAACAUGUAAACAUCUUGGAACAAAAACGUUUUUAUUUUUUUUAUUUCACAGGAUCAUGCUAUACUGUAUGUGUCCUUACCAGUGAUUUAUAGGCUUUAGGGAACAACUGUAUUUUCAUAACCAAAUAGAGGGUAAUAAUGUAUUAUUAUUAUUAUUACACUGUGCAGAAACAGGAAGUGUGCUUCAGCCAACAUAUGAGUAGAAGAAGAGAGUACAGGAAGAACGUGAGUAGAUGCACAGGACGCUCUGCAAAUGUCGGAUAGGAGUCGGUCUUCGUGUACAGUUCAACAGGGUGUGGCGUUACCCUGGCCUAUACUCAAAGCUCCUUAUAGAUAUAAAACAAGACUGCUCAGAAUGUUUACGUUUUUUAAAUGACUUUAUGGUAGAGUGGCCAGACGGUGGCCACUCCUCAGGGAAAUGCACAUGACAGCCAGAUUGGAGUUUGCCAAAAGGCACCUAAGGACUCUCAGACCAUGAGAAACAAGAUUCUCUAGUCUGAUGAAAGUAAGAUUGAACUCUUUGGCCUGAAUGCCAAGCGUCAUGUCUGGAGGAAGGAUGGCACUAUCACUACGGUGAAGCAUGGUGGUGGCAGCAUCAUGCUGUGGGGAUGUUUUUUCAGAGGCAGGGACUGGGAGACUAGUCAUGCUCGAGGGAAAGAUGAAUGGAGCAAGGUACAGAGUGAUCCUUAAUGAAAACCUGCUCCAGAGCACUCAGGACCUCAGACUGUGGUGAAGGUUUUACCUUCCAACAGGAAAAAGACCCUAAGCACACAAACAAAACAACGCAGGAGUGGCUUUGGGACAAGUCUCUGAAUGUCCUUGACUGGCCCAGCCAGAGCCAAUAGCUGUGCAUCCAACCUGACAGAGCUUGAGAGGAGAGAAGAGAAAUAUGGGAGAAACUCCCCAAAUACAGGUGUUCCAAGCUUGUAGCGUCAUACCCAAGAAGACUUGAGGCUGUAAUCGCUGCUAAAGGUGCUUCAACAUAGUACUGAAUAAAGGGUCUGAAUACUUAUGUAAAUGUGAUAUUUCUGAUUUUUAUUUGUAAUACAUGUGCAAAAUCAAAUCUAAAAACCUAUUUUUCUUUGUCAUUAUGGGGUAUUGUGAUGUCAUUAUGGGGUGUUGUGAUGUCAUUAUGGGGUAUUGUGAUGUCAUUAUGGGGGUAUUGUCUGUAGAUUGAUGAGGAAAUAAAAUAAUUUAAUCCAUUUUAGAAUAAGGCUGUAACGGUCACAAAAUGGGGUUCGAAAACUUUCUGAAUGCACUGUAUAUGUACUGCAACUAGCUAUUUGAGGUAACAGAAUGUGUGAGUUGGGGGGAGGGGAGUUAUACAGGAUAUGCUAGUUAUUUUAAGGUCGUUGUGAAUGAUCUGUCUGCUGUUAGAUAAGGAAACUCUAUUCGAACUAGUUACAGUGCCUUCAGAAACUAUUCAUACCCCUUGACUUAUUCUACAUUUUUGCUGUGUUACAGCCUGAAUUCAAAAUUGAUUCUCACCCAUCUACGCAUCUACAGUGGGGCAAAAAAGUAUUUAGUCAGCCACUAAUUGUGCAAGGUCUCCCACUUAAAAAGAUGAGAGGCCUGUAAUUUUCAUCAUAGGUACACUUCAAAUAUGACAGACAAAAUGAGGGAAAAAAAUCCAGAAAAUCACAUUGUAGGAUUUUUUAUGAAUUUAUUUGCAAAUUAUGGUGGAAAAUAAGUAUUUGGUCACCUACAAACAAGCAAUAUUUCUGGCUUUCACAGACCUGUAACUUCUUCUUUAAGAUUAUCCUCUGUCCUCCACUCGUUACCUGUAUUAAUAGCACCUGUUUGAACUUGUUAUCAGUAUGAAAGACACCUGUCCACAACCUCAAACAGUCACACUACAAACUCCACUAUGGCCAAGACCAAAGAGCUGUCAAAGGACACCAGAAACAAAAUUGUAGACCUGCACCAGGCUGGGAAUACUGAAUCUGCAAUAGGUAAGCAGCUUGGUUUGAAGAAAUCAACUGUGGGAGCAAUUAUUAGGAAAUGGAAGACAUACAAGACCACUGAUAAUCUCCCUUGAUCUGGGGCUUGCACGCAAGAUCUUACCCCAUGGGGUCAAAAUGAUCACAAGAACGGUGAGCAAAAAUCCCAGAACCACACGGGGGGACCUAGUGAAUGACCUGCAGAGAGCUGGGACCAAAGUAACAAAGCCUACCAUCAGUAACACACUACGCCGCCAGGGACUCAAAUCCUGCAGUGCCAGACGUGUCCCUUGCUGAUGGAAGGAGGUUUUCACUCAAAAUCUCACGAUACAUGGCCCCAUUCAUUCCUUCCUUUACACAGAUCAGUCAUCCUGGUCCCUUUGCAGAAAAACAACCCCAAAGCCUGAUGUUUCCACCCCCAUGCUUCACAGUAGGUAUGGUGUUUUUUGGAUGCAACUCAGCAUUCUUUGUCCUGCAAACACGAUGAGUUUAGUUUUUACCAAAAAGUUAUCUUUUGGUGUCAUCUGACCAUAUGACAUUCUCCCAAUCGUCUUCUGGAUCAUCAAAAUGCUCUCUAGCAAACUUCAGAUGGGCCUGGACAUGUACUGGCUUGAAGAUGAAACAUGGCUGGGUCUUUCAGCAUGGCAAUGAUCCCAAACACACCGCCCGGGCAACGAAGGAGUGGCUUCGUAAGAAGCAUUUCAAGGUCCUGGAUUGGCCUAGCCAGUCUCCAGAUCUCAACCCCAUAGAAAAUCUUUGGAGGGAGUUGAAAGUCCGUGUUGCCCAGCAACAGCCCCAAAACAUCACUGCUCUAGAGGAGAUCUGCAUGGAGGAAUGGGCCAAAAUACCAGCAACAGUGUGUGAAAACCUUGUGAAGACUUACAGAAAACGUUUGACCUCUGUCAUUACCAACAAAGGGUAUAUAACAAAGUAUUGAGAUAAACUUUUGUUAUUGACCAAAUACUUAUUUUCCACCAUAAUUUGCAAUUAAAUUCAUUAAAAAUCCUACAAUGUGAUUUUCUGGAUUUUUUUUCCCCAUGUUGUCUGUCAUAGUUGAAGUGUACCUAUGAUGUACUGUACCUACCAGGCCUCUCUCAUCUUUUUAAGCGGGAGAACUUGCACAAUUGGUGGCUGACUAAAUACUUUUUUGCCCCACUGUAUUUGCCACAUCUUCUAUUUAAGCCUACUAGGGUGGUCCUUCUGUAGCUCAGAUGGUAGAGCAUGGCGCUUGUAACGCCAGGGUAGUGGGUUCGAUUCCCGGGACCACCCAUACAUAGAAUGUAUGCACACAUGACUGUAAGUCGCUUUGGAUAAAAGCAUCUGCUAAAUGGCAUAUAUAUUAUAUAUUAUUAUUAUAUUACUAGAAAGUGUGUGCCCUCAGGCCUGGAGGGAAGCUAAAGUCAUUCCGCUACCCAAGAAUAGUAUAUCCUGGGGUUAUAUCCUGCCUGUUGGCCCUGUCUGGGGGUAUCGUCGGAUGGGGACACGGUGUCUCCCGACCCCUCCUGUCUCAGCUUCCAGUGUUUAUGCUGCAGUAGUAUGUGUCGGGGGGCUAGGGUCCGUCUGUUAUAUCUGGAGUAUUUCUCCUGUCUUAUCUGGUGCCCUGUGUGAAUUUAAGUAUGCUCUCUCUAAUUCUCUCUUUGUCUCUUUCUUUCUCUCUCUCGGAGGACUUGAGCCAUUUUUGAUCAUUGCUAGACAACCCUUUUCAGGUCUUGCCAUAGAUUUUCAAAUACAUUUAAGUCAAAACUGUAACUUGGUCCCUCGGGAUCAUUUACUGUCUUCUUGGUAUGCAACUCCAAUGUAGAUUUGGCCUUGUGUUUUAGGUUUUUGUUCUGAUGGACACCGGUAUCUUUGUAGUGACUGGGUGUAUUUGAUACACCAUCCAAAGUGUAAUAAAUAACUUCAACAUGCUCAAAGGGA